UAAGCUUCGUGCCUGAUGGCAGUGAACGCAGAUGUGAGGAAUCCCGUUACAUGGACGCGUCUUCCUUUCGCAACAUCAAGGGACUCCUGUCCUCUCAUUGGCUCCGAUUCUCACCGAUGACCCUCGUAUUGGUCCAGACUCGAACAGGGAGAUGGCGCUGUAAUCCACAUCUUGAUACCUAUAAAAGGUGUGGACUAAGAAUGGAAGUUGUUGCACCUGCUGCCCAAUCAUGUAAAUGGCUGGCACUGUUGUAUUGCUUGUGGGUUUGAAUAAACCUUGAAGAAGUGAGAAA